rnacentral:lncRNA from 1 species
GCUUGUACAAAGGGGUGUUUGGUCUUUAAUUUAAUUCAGUCUUUUAAGGUAAUGUUAUUGUUUGAUUAAAAGCUAUAUUUGCUUUUGGUUUACUGUGGAUUAAUUUUUUUUGUGUGCAUCAAAUCUCUUGGAUUGAGAAUUAAAACAAAAAGUAGAACUUCAUCUUUUAGCUUUAAUCUGUGGUAUAAACAAUUUCUGCAAGUGUUUAGGAAAUUUGUGUUUUCUUAAAAAAUAAAUGAGUGCAGAAAAAAAUAAUACUGAAUCCAUAGUAAAAGUUAGUGACUUGUACUGUUCUGUGUGUUUUUUAAAAAAGGUGGUACCUAACACUACAGGGAGAUAACUCUGUAAAGUCAGCUAAACGCUUUAAUUACAUUGUGUUGUAAAAGGACUAUUAAGCUUCUCAAUGAUCAAAAUUGGUGUUUGUCAAAUUGCUAUAUAACCGGUGUUAUUUUUCUGACAAAACGGUUGGUUCAAAAUUUUUAAAAUUUUUAUAUUUUUGUCACAGGGUCAAAGUAAAUACUUUGUCAAAAUUUUAUGAAAAUUAAACCAGCCAAAUUAAUUUUAGUGAAAGUGUUGGGUACCACCUUAAAGGACCAGACAGGGUAUAACUAUUGUCAUCAUAAUUCUCUAUCAAAAUUGAUUAUGUUUCUUUUAAACUUUAUUUAAAAUAUAUAAAAGACUCACAUUUAAUAUGUAUCUUCAAAUGUUGAAUUGAAAAAUAGAAAAACUGUAAUAAUGAUAACAAUUUGUAAUGAUAAGUUUUGUAUCAUCCAUUUUAACCUAAAUGUUGUUGGGACUUGUAAUUGAGUUUCUCAGGACACUGUCUUAAUUCACAUUCGUUUCUUCCAUUGAUCUCACAAUAAUAUAAAAUUAAUGCUUAAUGCUUUUCAUAUUGGCAUACCUAUUUAUUUAAAGAAAAGUUAACGGCCUAUGUUACUAAAAUAUAUAAAGCACCAAAUGAAAAAAUUAUAUGAAGUUAUCAUGAUUAUACCUUUAUAUCGAACAAGUACAAAAUGUGCAGCAUCUGGAAAAAAUAGAAUUAAACCAAAACCAAAGUGAAUUAUUAACGAGGUUUUAGUCAUAUUGGUUCUAUAUUUAUUGCAUUCUGUAUUAUCUGUGUUUCUUAUAUUUAAGCCAAUCUGCCUAAGAAUCAGGUCGAUGUGAAAGUAUGUAAACAAUAAUCCACUCGUAAGGUCAAAAUGUAUAAUAGUGCACACAUAUAAACAAACCUUUCCUGUUCUGGUAUUUCAAGAUAUUAUUUGUUUGAAAUAUACUAGAAAUUAUCAAUGAGGUCGCGUUAACUCCAUAAUUGGUUAUCUUUUUAAAAAGUUAUCUAGAAAGUUCUUAAAUUACCAGACACCCAGAAAGAUCUACCAAUUCUAAGUCAGUUCAAGGGUAAUGGUUAGGUCAGCUUGUUUUUUUUGCCAUGUUUUGGAAGUCUUCUAAAUUGCCUGAUUCUUACAAAUACUGGCCCUAAAGUUUAACCACAUAUACAGCCAGCCAUACAGUUGUGUCUAAUCAUAACUUGUAUUGAACACUUCGAAAUUUCAAUAUUGAUCAGUUUCAACAUCUUGAAUACAUAAUCUGAAUUGAAACAACACUAUGGCUGUAGAUUAUUUAGAUUUCAUUGGACCCUUUGAAAAAUUCUUGGGCACUAUUUCCUUUUAAAUUUUAUGACACGGUUGGACUUAAUAUUGCAAAAAAUAUUUCUUAGUGCUGACAACAGGAAAAUUAUACUCGAUACCUGUUAUGUCAUAUUAUUCUUUGUAAAAGUAAUUUUAACUAAUUAAUCCAACUAUGUAGAUAUAUAGACUAAUUUAUUGCAUUCCAGAUUUCUGUAUUUUACAUAUAUUGUCAUAUACUAGCAUAUAACAUUAAAGGUGCUUGAAAAAACAUGUAAAACUUUUAAUUAUAUCAUUAUGUGGUAACUGCUCAAAACUUAUUUUGAUUGUACCAUUAUUGUUUUAAUUUUAUAGUUGAUUAAAUUCACUUACUAUCAAUAAAAAGUUUGUUUUAUUAUUAACGAGGGCAUCAUCAGCUUACUAAUUGCCAAGUGAGCUUUCUCAAUUCUUGGAGUCUUGGGUAUUCGGUUGUUGUAGACUGUUAACUUUAAGAAAUUUUUUCUCUUUUGAAACUUGUGGC